rnacentral:misc_RNA from 1 species
UUCAAGUUCCAUUACAGCCAGUUCGCUUUUCCAGUUAACCAGUUCAUCUUCUUUUAUAUGCAGCUGUCUUUUGAGGAGCCCAUCAUGUUGAUUGGCUUCACUUAGUCUUUUAACGAGCCUUUCUCUUUCUGAAUCAACUAGCAGUGACUUCAACUGUUAGAAACUACAGAAUCUGUCUCACUAUUGGGGAAAAGUUACAUAUAUACAUACCUACAUAUUUGAGCAUGUGCUGCAAAUUGUGUGUGCCCCUUCUUGUAUUUGUACAUAAAAAACAGCCCAAGUAAUUAAUUCCAUUUCACACAGAUUGCAAUUAACCAAUGUCACCUAGACUAGCUACAGUUGCCACUAUGGUCAAUCAUGCAUUGUGCUGCAAUAUGGAUUAUAGUCGUAAGUUCAUCUAAUUCAGGACACCAGAUCUCAGUACAACGAAGUCAAUCCAAACAAUCGGAAUGAAAAUUACUCAUAACUACAAAGAAAGCAUGGGCAUAAUGGAAGUAGAACUUAGCAAAAGAAGUGCAGAGAUACAACUACUACAAAAUGCUGACAUUUAAUGAAUUUCUAUCCCUAUCAAAAAAAAAAGAAAAAGAAAGACCACUUAAAAAGACUUCUAUUUCAUGAACACUGGCUAAUUCAAAUUUAAAAACACCUGCAUAAUGGAAUGCAGAGGAAGUAAUUCACAUCAGCAAUGCAUAAUCCGGAUGUCAAUAUAUUUCAAUAAGUUAAGCAUAGGUGCUGGAAUGUUCUCUUUUAUGUAUUCCUUGAUUUCUUACAAAUUUCAGCGUGUGGCUCACACGUGAUGCAAUUAAAAAAAUCAUUAACUAACAAUAAACGAUCAUGGCCUAGUAAUUCACUGAAAUUGAUUAUGCCAAAGGAUAGUACACUGCCUUGUUAAUAUACAAAUGAAGGGCCUACAUCAGCAUUACCCUUGACAUGGUACAUGUCUUUUUUAUAACCCCUUACUUGGUAAAACUAAAACAGGAAAGAGCCUUUCAAUUAGCCGUUCAUGCUCUCGUCUCAUGCUCCACAAGCAUUGGCUCAUUUGAGGCCAAUAGGCAAUAUCAUGAUAGAACAUAUAUAGAUGUUUCAUAUUCCUCAAUGCAUAAUCAGGAUAUUCCAGGAAGUCAAUUGUUUAUAACUUCUCUCAUAAGUUUCUUGCCUUUUGAUUUCCUUGCUUUCUUCCAACGUACUCCUUACAUGUCAUACAACUAAAAAAUCAAUAGAGAACUGAUUGUGGUCUUCACUUGAAAGACUUGUGCAAUUUUACUUCUUCACUUAUAUUAUUAUGUGUAAGGGUAGCAUUGCCUUUUUCUUUUUUGUUUUUCAAUAUAAAAAAGCGAGAGUCUAAAUUGGUCUCUCCCUUGACAUAGUAACUAUUUCUUUUAUCACAUCCUAGUUGAUAAACAUGAAAGUGCCCUUUCACUUGCACUUUAUUUUCCCUUCUAGUAAAACACACACACAACAUUUCUUACAAGCACCAUGUCAAUUUAAAGCUGUAGGAUAUAAGAGAUGAUGCUUUUAAUAUUUAUCAGAAAAUAAGAGACAGUAGAAAUUAAAGCUCACAUCAUUACUGUUCAAUGGUUGCGCAAGAAGGUCUUCUGAUAAAUUAGCAGAUCCAUUCUCUUCAUCUUCAGA